GAGAGAGAGAGAGAGAGAGAGAGAGAGAGAGAGAGAGAGAGAGAGAGAGAGAGAGAGGUGAUAUAACUGGACAAAAGCAAUUACUGAAGUAAUAAACAAUACAAUUUAGCGGUAGCCAUCGCGGACAAGAUCACGUUGUGGUUCGAGUGGCCUCGGGAAAUGGAAGGCAAUUAAAAAUAUUAAUGAAAAGCCGCCAUUAAGUCUUAGCGGCCGUGGCGUUUAUUAUUUUUGAUCUUUGCUCGUUUUGUUCUCGGAUAAUCCGUCCCAUAUUUGAAUUCUUUCCGGAAUGAGUCAGACUGGAGGCUUCUCUGGUCUGGUGCAGUUCGUUUCCGGCGUUAUGCAAAAACACUUCCAUGCGAAUGAACCGAUAGUUUGUUUGAGAAACGCCUCUGAGAAUGGCAUUCGAUUAAGCGGUGGAUCAAAUACAUUUUCCAUGAGGCACUAACACGUUCGUCGUUAUGACGAUGAGUCCUGAUGAGAUGAUUUGACUCUGUGGCACAUCGGCGUCCGAAUGAAAGCAACAAAAAUAAACUUGUAUAACUGGCACCAAGCUUUUGGCAUUUCUCAAGCAAGAUUUGCUAAUCUGACUUCCCGCAGAUCAUCGGUCCUCGUUUCAGCCGUUUCCCCAGCCUUCAUCUCUGCACCUGAUCCCACGUUGACCUUCAAGCUUAGGGAGAUAAGGCUACUGACUCAGAGCUCCCAAAGCUCACUGAGCACGCUCCCCUGACAGCCAAUCAGACCAACAACUUUGUGUAAGUGCGGGGGAAAAAAAAAAGCUGUGGAAGAAAAUAGUUUUGAUUACAAUGCACUUGGCAGUGGCGGACGGAUGCAGGUCUACAGAGACGCAGACGAGUGUUACUGAAUACUUGGCCACCGUUCUGUCUGAUAUCCAUAAAUUAUUAACUGCUGUGGUCAUUUGCAGUGAUUAACCUCAAUAAUUCAUCUAGUUGUGUAAUUGAAAGAAUCGAAAGGCUUGAAUGAAAGCCUUCCAGGGGAUCACAGACCCAUAUUUGUUUCGUGUUUUUUAAAAACACCGAUGACAAAUUGGAGGAACCGGUCCCCCUGAUCGAUGGUACAAUGGCCCACCAGCUGGUCCGCCACCGUACGAGGGUGCUAGGAUUAUUAAUAAACAAAGGCAACCUGUAGGUGUGGGAAGAAGGGAGGGAGGGGGCGGGUGUUCCUGCCAGCUGGCUCAGUCACUUUCCAACCUCGUACCCACUCCUCCGCGAGAAAACCAUCCAGCACCUGCCAGCCGGCUGACAAAUGAAAGCCUGCGUUCACAAAUUCCACACGUGUCCUUGCGCCGGACUGAAUUUCCCUAGUUACGUUUGAAAAGAAGUCAUUCCUCACUGGAGUGGGUUUUGUUUGUUUGUUUGUUUGUUUGUUUGUCUUUGUUUUUUUUAUUCAGCUUCAGCUUCAUUUUUCCUUCCAUCUACUUCCCGAAAUGAAAAGCGAGAUAAAAGGCAAACGACUGGUCCCUUGACGAAGGUGAUCUCAUCCCCCUCGAUAAGUACUACUGAGGAAGCUUGAGCCGGAAGGCCUAGCUCAAGUGUGCCACGAAUGUGGGCUUAAAGGGGGGCUUAUGUACCUUGUUCCUCCUCCUUGAUGUUCAAAGCUGUGCAGCCAUGGCUCUAUUGAUCAGCCAGAAACAUACAACAGACGAGAAGGCAUGCUUUUUAGCUCCCGGUAAUGUUCAUCCUUUACUUGUGUUUUUUUUUUUUUUUUUUUUUCCAAGAUCAGGCAAACAAAUUCAGCUUUGAUAAUUGGCUUAAUCCAGGCAGGCUGGCGCAUGAAUAUUAAACGGCUCGUUAUGAUCAGGGUCGAGACGCGUCGUCUUAUUAGAAGUCCUCGUUGGGAGAGCUCUCGGCGGUGUUAUUUUUCCGACAGCAGGGUUGGAGGUGGUGGGCUGGAUGGAGAAUGCUUAAUGUAGUGGACGGCACAAGCGUGACUCAGCAUAAUGCCGCGUCCUCAAGGAGCCUCUCCACAGAAACAACCACCAGCGCUCAAGAUCUCACCCCUUCUCACCUCCCCUCCUGCAUCCCCCAAGUGAUAGGGUCGAUCCUGGAUCAGAUCUACAUUUCUGCUUCGAGUGACGUUCGGGUAAAUCACGGAGCACAAACACUUGAGUGAUGAAAGCAGAAAAGAAGAUCGAGCAUGCUUUUCGUCCACGAAGAAAUGGCUCCUUCCUAAUCACGGGUGGUACCUGAUCAAUUCCUAAAAAACAAAAAAAAAAAACCCUGUGUGCUUUGCACUUGGAGAGCCACUUUGCAUCACUAUAUAUACACGUGUGUGUAUAUAUACUUUGAGUUGACCUCAAAGUCAAGGGCUGGCUAAUAUUUCCGCUCCGAAUGAACGAGCCUUUGAUCUCGGACCAUUGUGCUCAGCGUCCGUGACUUUUUACCACAGUGUAUCGAGAGGCUUCAAAGCGGAGAGGACGGAGGCUUCAGAAAAGUCCCAUAGCGGGUCCUGCGUUUCAAACCACAACGCCGGUCGGAGUAGAGGAGAAAAACAAAGAGGGAGAGAGUUAAAAGCAAAACCACUCCACGGAGAAAGAGA
ensembl:lncRNA